CCUACGGGUGGCAGCAGUAGGGAAUCUUGCGCAAUGGGCGAAAGCCUGACGCAGCAACGCCGCGUGGGGGAUGAAGGCUCUCGGGUUGUAAACCCCUUUCAGCAGGGACGAAAUUGACGGUACCUGCAGAAGAAGCCCCGGCCAACUACGUGCCAGCAGCCGCGGUAACACGUAGGGGGCAAGCGUUGUCCGGAUUUAUUGGGCGUAAAGAGCUCGUAGGCGGCUCGGUAAGUCGGGUGUGAAAACUCAGGGCUCAACCCUGAGAUUGCAUCUGAUACUGCUGUGGCUAGAGUCCGGUAGGGGAGCGUGGAAUUCCUGGUGUAGCGGUGAAAUGCGCAGAUAUCAGGAGGAACACCAGCGGCGAAGGCGGCGCUCUGGGCCGGAACUGACGCUGAGGAGCGAAAGCGUGGGGAGCAAACAGGAUUAGAUACCCCUGUAGUC
rnacentral:rRNA from 1 species